GGUGAACGCUGGCGGCGUGCUAAGACAUGCAAGUCGAACGCAGUCUUCGGACUGAGUGGCGCACGGGUGAGUAACACGUAACUGACCUACCCCCAAGUCGCGGAUAACUGGCCGAAAGGUCAGCUAAUACGUGAUGUGAUGUCCCCUUUCUGGGGGGCCAUUAAAGGUUUACUGCUUGGGGAUGGGGUUGCGUUCCAUCAGCUAGUUGGCGGGGUAAGGGCCCACCAAGGCAACGACGGAUAGCCGGCCUGAGAGGGUGGCCGGCCACAGGGGCACUGAGACACGGGUCCCACUCCUACGGGAGGCAGCAGUUAGGAAUCUUCCACAAUGGGCGAAAGCCUGAUGGAGCGACGCCGCGUGAGGGAUGAAGGUUCUCGGAUCGUAAACCUCUGAAUCAGGGACGAAAGACGCGUAAGCGGGAUGACGGUACCUGAGUAAUAGCACCGGCUAACUCCGUGCCAGCAGCCGCCGUAA
rnacentral:rRNA from 1 species